ACCCCCCUGACGCCCCGCGGCCCGGCCGGGGCACACGGCUGCCGUAGGACCUCGGCCCAGAGGUGCGGCCCAGGCCGUCCCGCGCCCAGCCCUUGGCCCGGCCCCGCUCCCCGAGCGGCACCGACCCGCACAGACCCAACCGGCCCCCACAGACCCCCCCUUACUCCCCUCCCUUCCCCCCCCCCCGCCCCGCCGCCCAGGCCCGGCCCGGCGCCGCUUUCCCGCGCUAGGCCCGAGUGCGCCAGCGCCGCCAUCCCCUCGCCCUCUGCCGCCAUCCCCCGCUCCCGGGAACCCCCCCCGCGGCCCGGCCGUUACCCGCGAGCUGCCGGGCGCGCUGCGGCGGCGGCUGGCGGCGGACGGAGGGCGCCGAGGGAAGGCGGCGAGGGAAGGGGGAAGGCCGCGCUGCUCUGCCCGCCCGCUCCGCUCCCUUCUGGCUGCGCCACACGCGGCUUGCACACGGCCCCGCGCGCUCCCCCCGCCCCUCCCUACUACUCUGCGCACGGCCCGGCGGAGCCCCCCUCUCCGCCAAUGGGCGCGGCCCGCUCCCCCCCCCAGCGGCCAAUCGGCGUCGCGAGCGCGGGUGCCCAAUCCGCGCGGGCGGAAGGGGGGAGGGGCCCGCCUCCCGUGACGCGCUCCGUGUGGGGGGGAGGGGGCAGGCGGCCCCUCGCGGGGCGCUGCGGCACAGCGGGGCCCGCCCCGCCUCGCACCCCACGGCCCCGCGCCCCUCAGCGCCCCACGGUCCCGGAGCUGACCCCCGCCCGCCGCCUCCUCCUCAGCCCAGCGCUUCCCGGUCCCUUGGGGCUUUCCCGCGCCCCCCGGCGGCCUCCCCGCCGCUCCCCGCACGGUUUCCGUCCCUGCCCGGGCGGCCCCGAGCGCCGGGCGCCAGGCGGCCAUCUUGGCGGCGCUGCGGGGCUGGCGGCAGCGCGAGGAAAUGGAGGACGCGGCGCCCGGACACGGCGGGCUCGGGGGGGGCGGCCUGGACGGGGCGCCUCCAGCCCGGUCAGUUAA
rnacentral:lncRNA from 1 species